CACGCCGUAAACGAUGAGUGCUAGGUGUUGGGGGUCAAACCUCAGUGCCGCAGUUAACGCAUUAAGCACUCCGCCUGGGGAGUACGUUCGCAAGAAUGAAACUCAAAGGAAUUGACGGGGACCCGCACAAGCAGCGGAGCAUGUGGUUUAAUUCGAAGCAACGCGAAGAACCUUACCUGGACUUGACAUCCCUUGGCCCGCUUCUUAACCGAAGCUUUCCCUUCGGGGACUGAGGAGACAGGUGG
rnacentral:rRNA from 1 species